rnacentral:lncRNA from 1 species
CCUGCAGGCCCUGAGGGUGCAAGCCCACUGGGCGGCAUGGGUGGCAGAGGCAGGCCUCCCGGUGGUGGUGCGCGCAAAGACUCUGGCAGAGGCGGCCAGGGGGGCAGAUCAUUCAUCAGGGGGGGCGUGGGGGUCUCUUCACCCCAGGAGGCCCCUUCACCCCAGGAGGCCCAGCAGGGAGGCUCGGUGGGGCUGGUGGCUUCUCCAUCUUGAAGAGAAACUGCAGGAAAAACUGCUUGGUUUCCCGAUUCCAGUGAGUCCAGAACUUGCCUUCGGCCUCAUUGAUCUCCCUGCUUGGCACUUUGAAGGCGAUCGUCUCAUAGGGCUCGGCGGCCAUGAGCAGGUACUGCCAGCGCCGGUCAGGAGGCUCGAUCCUCUGCUCAUAGGCAGACAUGAAGCGGUGGCGGGGCAUGAUGCCCUCGGCGAUCUCACGGUAGUCAAUCUGGAAGAGGAGGCUCUGCUGGCCCAUCUCCGUGUCCCUCUGCUUGGUCAUUUUGUAGCCUGGGCAGCUAAUCUUCACAAACUUCACCUCCACCUUGACCUUUUCUGGCGCUGGCUGGGCGGGGGCCUCCUUGGCGGCUCGCCGGGCCAAGUUGGUCUGAUGCUUCUUCCCCUGGGUAUGUGCCAGGUAGCUCCCCUCGUUGUUGUGCAGGGUCAGACACCGCUUGCACUCGUACGAGCCCAGAUGGUUCUUCAUGAAAUAUGGGUCCUUGUUGAUGUCGAUGGUCUCCAGGGCCACGUGCCGGAGGCGCUCCCUGCGGUCUCGGUGGCUCUCGGAGGAGGAGGCCACGCCUCCACUCCCGGUCUUACCCCCAGGGGGACGCUGGAAUUCCAUGGUGAGGGCGUUGGGGCUUUACCACACUGGUAGAGAGACCCUGCGCUCCUCCUCACUCCACGCCCGCCGCUGCCACGAAUCAAGAAAGUGUUUUAUUGAGACAAAAUCUACUCCUGGUGAAGAGGUUGUGAAGAUUGUUAAAAUGACAACAAAGGAUUUAGAAUAUGACAUAAACUCAAUUGAUAAAGCAGCAGCAG